UACGAAGGGGGCUAGCGUUGUUCGGAUUUACUGGGCGUAAAGCGCACGUAGGCGGCUUUUUAAGUCAGGGGUGAAAUCCUGGAGCUCAACUCCAGAACUGCCUUUGAUACUGAGAAGCUUGAGUCCGGGAGAGGUGAGUGGAACUGCGAGUGUAGAGGUGAAAUUCGUAGAUAUUCGCAAGAACACCAGUGGCGAAGGCGGCUCACUGGCCCGGUACUGACGCUGAGGUGCGAAAGCG
rnacentral:rRNA from 1 species